GACGAACGUUGGCGGCGUGCUUAAUACAUGCAAGUCCACUGAAGCAGUGGUAGCAAUAUCGCUGUGGAGGUGGCGCACGGGUGAGUAACACGUAGGUAAUCUGCCUUCAGGUCUGGCAUAACUCCGGGAAACCGGGGCUAAUAGCAGAUGAUGCAGCGGCUCGACAUCGAGACAGUUGUUAAAGCUAUGGCGCCUGAAGAUGAGCCUGCGUCUGAUUAGCUAGUUGGCGGGGUAACGGCCCACCAAGGCAACGAUCAGUAGCUGGUCUGAGAGGAUGAUCAGCCACAAUGGAACUGAGACACGGUCCAGACUCCUACGGGAGGCAGCAGUAAGGAAUAUUGCUCAAUGGGAGAAAUCCUGAAGCAGCAACGCCGCGUGAGGGACGAAGGGCUUUUGCUUGUAAACCUCUGUAGUGAGAGAAAAAAAUCCCAAUCUUUGGGACAUGAUGGUAUCUCAAAAGUAAGCCCCGGCUAACUACGUG
rnacentral:rRNA from 1 species